rnacentral:rRNA from 1 species
UACGUAGGGUGCAAGCGUUAAUCGGAAUUACUGGGCGUAAAGCGUGCGCAGGCGGUUGUGCAAGACCGAUGUGAAAUCCCCGGGCUUAACCUGGGAAUGGCAUUGGUGACUGCACGGCUAGAGUGUGUCAGAGGGGGGUAGAAUUCCGCGUGUAGCAGUGAAAUGCGUAGAGAUGUGGAGGAAUACCGAUGGCGAAGGCAGCCCCCUGGGAUAACACUGACGCUCAUGCACGAAAGCGUGGGGAGCAAACAGG